GCAACCAUUUAAUUUGAAAAAGGAAUGCGCCCGUUUUUCGCCGUAAAUGUUGCAGCCUAAUUUUGGAUCGAGAAUUAAGUGCGACGAAGAUGGCCGUUAAUAAUAGUUCUACUACUUUAAGAACACGGUUCAGAUUUGGAUAACGACUUCGAAGGCAUUCGCAGGAGACCAAACAGAGAAAGAGAGGGAGACACAAAACCACCUGUCUCGGUGUCACACAUGAGGAGUUGAGGAGGAGAUGAAGUCAGUGAAUAUGACCUGGCCUGGGGGAGUUUCCAGAAGAAGGCCCAGAAUCGCUGGAUGCCAGGAGUGGAGAUCCUUCGUUGCUGCCCUACAUGAUAGGAGGCAUUGGGCAGUAGAUGCUGUAAUUUGAAACGGAAGGUGUCCUGCCAAUAAAUUUUCAUCCCACCUGAACUGCCUUGCCUGCCUGCACCCAGUCAUCUGUUCCUGAGCAUUUUCAUUUUCAUUUUCCUCUAUUUUUCAUCAUCGUUUGUUUCGGCCUGUAUGAAGUGAAUUUCACAUUGAUUGGUGGAGCUGCUAAGUUGGCAUUACAGGGCCACGCCGGGGUAUGAUCCUUUGGGUUGAACAUCAUGACUGCUAGUUGGUCGGCAAAGGUGAUGGGAUCGAUCAAUGUCACAUGGAGUAAGAUCGAUACCAAUCUGCUUUGCUACAUUUCGAACAAUCUCAUACGGAUACGGAUAUUAUUGCGACAGGAGUACUGCUCGAUGUGGUCAAGCCUAUUUGACAAAGCAUUAUGGUGUUAGUCAUGUUAUCAGAAACCGAUUUUUCAAAAUCACGGAGUUGCUUCAAUUUAGUAUCGAUAGAUAUUUCAAGAACGUGUAGACUAGUGAGCUUUUCAUCAAGAAUUUCACGCAAUUUAUUUUCGCGCUUAUCCAUGUCAUCAUUGAGUUUUUGUCUCUCGCGUUCCAUUGCCACGGCCACCGCUCUUUGAACGACUGUAUCAAUAUGAUCUAGGUAUGCUGGGCUUUGUUUAGAUCCAGUUAAUGAUGAAGCAGAGGAUUGUGUACAUGCGUUAGCCGAGUGCAAACGGCCUCUUGAUCUGGUGGAUAUCUUAGACAUGUUAGAGAUUACGUAAUGAUAUAAUUGAAAAGUGGGAUGGGCUGUGCAUCUGCCAACUCACCAGUCAACCAAUUAGAGACGGCCUUCCAAAGUGACACAGCACGAAAAUAUCAAUAUGGGACUGGUCUAGUCAACACAUAGAUCCUGACAAAACCAUGGAGACCGCAGACGCAAAAUGACUUCCAUACAUAAAGAUAUGAUGCACAAUUUCCAGUGGGUUCAAAACACUGAACACAUGCUAUGCUGAUACACAGACUAAUUAUUAAAGAAUUUUAUCAAGCAAAGGAAAUCUGGUAUGAAAUCUCUCAGCUCACAUAAAAAGCCUACGUAACUACAUGUAGGGAAGAGAAUGUGUAAUUGCUGAGAAAUGAGCAAAAUAAGCAUGUAAUUCUAUCAAAUGUCAGAUAUUUUUCGAAUCGAUUAUAAUACACUGUCCCACAUAUGCUUUUCUGUGUUUACAGCGAUCAUCAGAAUUAUCGAUUUUAAGUUUAAAAAUUCAUGAUUUUACAAAGAUACAAGUUUACAUUAAUGUACCAGAUGUAGAUUAUGUACAAUAUAUUGACAAUGAACUUUGAUUUUAUAGAUUUUCUCAAGAAAUAAUUGUUUGCUGCAACUACUGUCUUUUCCUUCUAAGUGAUAGUGUAAUACAACAGUUCCACAAACUAUUUUCAUCAGACUUAUUGAUGCAUGAUUCUUUCACCCAAAUGCAAGCUUCCAUAAAUCCUGAAAACUUUGCAACUCAGGUAUUUUUUUUUUUUACAUACAGUAUAUUUUGUCCUACAUUGCAUAGUUGCCUUAAGUUAAUAGCGCACCUCUAGUAGUAACUAUCUUAAAAUGAGUUCGAACAGAAUCCAACAGAAUUACCAGCAAAGUGUAUGUAUAUAUAAAAGAUGUGUGCCAAAAAGCUCGGGAAGAAAAUGUGUAAUUGCUGAGAAAUGAGCAAAAUAAGCAUGUAAUUCUAUCAAAUGUCGGAUAUUUUUCAAAUCAAUCAUAAUACACUGUCCUGUCCCACAUAUGCUUUUCUGUGUUAGUGAUCAUCAGAAUUAUUGAUUUUAAGAUCAAAAUUCAUGAUUUUACAAAGAUACAAGUUUACAUUAAUUUACCAGGGCCCCGUCUUACAAAGAGUUAUAAUUGAUCCGAUCAAUCGCAACUAUGGACGGUCAGCAACGUUAACAUCUAUUAAGCAUGUUUGUUCAAAAUAUUUUCUAGCUAUGAUGUAUGUUCAUGCAUUCAUUGUUUUCUCAAAAAUUCGCUGCGCUUCUCUUUGCAUACAAAGGACAUUGUGCAAAUUUUUCGUAGAAAAAAUUAUGACACUGAUGGAUUUCCAUAGAGUUAUGAUUGAUCGGAUCAAUCGUAACUCUUUGUAAGACAGGGCCCAGAUCAAGAUUAUGUACAAUAUUUUGACAAUUAACCUUAAUUUAAGAGACUUUCCGAAGAAAUAAUUGUUUGCUGCAACUACUGUCUUUUACCCCUGGCCCUAAGUGAUAGUGUAAUACAACCCAAACAUUUCAUAAGAAUUAAUGUACAUGUAUGAUUCUUUCACCCAAAUGCGAGCUUCCAUAAAUCCUGAAACUAUUCCAACUCGGGUAUUUUUUUUACAUACAGUAUAUUUUUACCUACAUUACAUAGUUGUCUAAAGUUGAAGGUAUAUUUAAUUACAAUUUCAACGAAAAAGCUUUAUUCUUGGAGAUCAUUAUGCCUCUGUUAUGUAUUAAUGUGUAUUUAUACAUGUACAAUUGUAUGUAUUGGUAUAACAAACAUUGUAAUUUCAUUCCUUUGACCCUAAUACUGCAUUUUCAUAGAAAAGUGUUUUUUUUUUUCAAUCUAUUUAGAGUUUUCAACAUUUUGUAUUCCUUUUUUUUUUGCUGGUAAUAUGUUAUGCAACUUUUAUUUAUUAAUAGAAUAUUUGCCACGAUUUCGUAAUUGAAAUGCGUACAUGUAUUUGAUUUCGUUUUCCAUUUUUGUAUAUAUUCUUUUUCGGGGGGGGGGGGGGGGUCAUGAUCUUGAGACCGAGACAAGUUAUGCAAGGCCCUGGCAUGGAGGAUCAUUAUAUUGUUACUGGGAAUGCUGGACAUUGUCAGACCACCUCAGUAUUCACCAAAUAUAGAUAAUCCUCAAUGACAAGGUCUUUGAAGUGAUGUGUGUAUGUACAUUGCAUGUAGAAUUUAAUGUUUAGGUCAUUAUCACGUCAGAAUACGUUAAGAUAUCAUAGUUGACUCCAAAAGACGUCAUAUUCAUUUCAAUAUGCGACGUCAAUAUGACGUCUAUUACUAGUCAGCAAUAUGUUGCAAAGUCGUCAUUCAGACGUCGUAGUUGACUUAUAAACACGUCAUAAUUACAUCAAUAUGACGUCUAAAACUGGUCAGGAAUACGUCGCAAAGUUGUCAUUAAGACGUCGUAGAUGACUUUUAAAGACGUCAUAAUUACAUCAAUAUGACGUCUAAAACCGGUCAGGAACACGUUACACGGAUGUCAUUAAGACGUCGUUGUUGACUCUCGAAGACGUCAUAAUCACGUCAAUACACGACGUCAUUCUGACCCUUGAUACUGGUCAGGAAAACGUUGUAAAAACGUUGCUAAGACGUCAUUAAGACGUCGUAGUCACUCUUGGAGACGUCAUAAUGACGUCAAUAUACGACGUCAUAAUGACGUUAUUCGCGGGUGCAAGAUCCCGUCAAUAAGACGUCAUGAUACGACGUCAAAAUGACGUGACACUCGUCGUUAAACUGACGUAAUUAUGACGUCAUUUUUACCAGUUUCUGCUAUCAGGGUAUAGAUGAAAUCGAUUAAUUUUCCAUAGAAUAUGAGUUGUAUAUAUGUAUAAUGGCAUCACUUAAUCUUCAUUGUAAUAUAUGGACAUGGGAAACUAGGUUUUGAAUAUUAUGACAAUGUUAAUAUGGACAAUAUUUUGGACGAUCGACGCUCGAAUGGAAAUAUUAAAAGGGUAAGUCAAACUUUGACACUCCUGCCCUUUUUUCCCAGUGCUAUUAUAUUACCCAAAAUCUACUCUAACAAUAACACUCUUUUAAUCCUUCCAUUCAACUUUAUGGUUGUUCAUUCGUUGCCAAGGAGACUACGCGUCCCUUCUAACAGAUACGUAACAUUACUACGUCACUGCGAUUAUUGUUAUUUAAAUAUCUCCUAUUCAAUGGCCAUCCGAUCUUUCCGCACUCGCUAUUGUUAUUUAAAUAUCCUCUAUUCAAUGGCCAUCCGAUCUUUCCGCACUCGCUAUUGUUAUUUAAAUAUCCUCUAUUCAAUGGCCAUCCGAUCUUUCCGCACUCGCUAUUGUUAUUUAAAUAUCCACUAUUCAAUGGCCAUCCGAUCUUUCCGCACUCGCUAUUGUUAUGCUAAUCAACCCCUAUUCAAUGGCCAUCCGAUCUUUCCGCACUCGCUAUUGUUAUGCUAAUGAUCCCUAUUCAAUGGCCAUCCUUCCAGACUACUCUUCCAUUGUUAUGCUAAUUGACCCCUAUUCAAUGGCCAUCUUUCCAGACUAUUCAUCCAUUGUUAUGCUAAUUAUCCCUAUUCAACCCUUCCAUUGUUAUGCUAAUUUCCCCUAUUCAACCCUUCAUUGUUAUGCUAAUGUAUUACGUCAUAUUCUUUUGUGCGCGCGUCACGCUUGAGUGAACCUUUAGAAUGGCCAUAUCGCCGUCAUUAUUCUCUUUCGUACCAGAAAAAAAUUUGACAAGC